AUUGAACGCUGGCGGCAGGCCUAACACAUGAAAGUCGAACGAGUGGCGGACGGGUGAGUAAUGUCGGGGAAACUGCCUGAUGGAGGGGGAUAACUACUGGAACCGGUAGCUAAUACCGCAUACCAUCGGAUGUGCCCAGAUGGGAUUAGCGAGUAGGUUGGGUAAAGGCUCACCUAGGCGACGAUCCCUAGCUGGUCUGAGAGGAUGACCAGCUACCUGGGAUCUGAGACACUGUCCAGACUCCUACGGGAGGCAUCAGUGGGGAAUAUGGCACCAUGGGCGCAAGCCUGAUGCAGCCAUGCCGCGUGUAUGAAGAAGGCCUUCGGGUUGUAAAGUACUUUCAGCGGGGAGGCGUUACCCGCAGAAGAAGCACCGGCUAACUCCGUGCCAGCCGCCGCGGUAAUAC
rnacentral:rRNA from 1 species